GGAGAUGUGGCAGAGUGGUUGAAUGCACCUGACUUGAAAUCAGACGAAGGCGUAAGUCUUCCUGGGGUUCGAAUCCCUACAUCUCCGCCA
rnacentral:tRNA from 1 species